UUCCCAGUUGUUGUAACAAGUUUGGAACAAGCUGUUGACAACUUGUAACAAGCUUGAUGGCAUAAUCAGACUUGUAACAAAGUUGUUCUAACAAGUCUGAUACAUUCAUGAUAUAACAAGAAUGUCACGCGGUUGAUGACACAAGGUUGUAACAAUAUUGUUAUAUCAUGACUGUAUCGGACUUGUUGGAACAACCUUGCAAGAAGUCUGAUAAUACAGUAUCAACAAGGUUGUUACAAGUUGUUUACAGUUUGUUCCAAACUUGUUGACAACUUGGGAC